UCUACCCUCCAGAUGUACAGCUGAAUUUGAGGAAGCUCAGAACUUCUCUAGCUGAACAUCUGGUAACAUCUUC